UGACAAUCAUUGUUUAUUCUGUUCCAAAGGGACGUAGCAGGCCAUUUCCUCACAUGACCUUUCAUUGGCCCUAAUAUUCAGGCCCAUAUGGAGGAAAGGCAAACAGCCACAGAAAAUCAUGUGGCUACUUCACAUUUAGUCUCAUGAGUGUUCACUGGCAUGAUUAAACAAUACAUCUACACUCUCAGCUAGGGAAAACCUGUUUCCUUUAUAUUUGCUGCUAUAUAUAUUUAAUAACUAUUAAUCACUAUAUACGAGGUACAAGUACAAGCAAAUGAACUGAACUAUAUUUUCCUUGAGAAGGAAGGGAUUGAAAACUACCAACAACUGUGCUAAAGUAUUACAAAGUUCCUCUAAUCGAGCCAUCAAAAGGAGUGUCCUUUAUUUAUGGCAUACAUUAUUUGGAAUCUAAUUGGAUUUUUAAUGUGGUGGUUGGGGCAGGGGUCUGUGUUUAGUUUUUUCUUUUUCCCUUUUUUUUUCCUUUUAGACUGGAUGAGGGGCACACAGUGAGAAGCUGGCUUCAUGGGAGGAGAAAUCUAUCAAAUGGAAAAUGAACAAAUACAAAACCCUCUGUUUCUGUCCAAUGUCUAUAACCACAGCAUGAUAAGACAGGGAAGGGUCAUCUGACUAUGUGGUUGAUUUCUCCAAUAUUCCUCACUGAUUUCCUCUUUUUGUAUAAUCUCUUGCUAUUACGAUAAAACGGCACCAGAUCAUGUUGAGAUGAAUCAUCCAUCUCCUUAAAUGUCUAUUUAGGAGUUAACAGAAGUUACCAGAAGUAACUCUGGUUGAAAGCUCAUCUACUUAUAGCCCUCGUUCGUUAUGAAAAUUCUUGAAACCUCAACCAAAGCCUAUCUUCAGACAAGACCACAACACACUGCCAGGAAACGCCUUUUCAGCGGAGGGGACUCACACAAAGGCAGUUUUCUCUUCUUUUGUUCUGGGAGGAAAAGGGGCAUUUGGCCACUCAGAAUGAGAGUUCAGACAGACUCUCCUGGGGAACAAGUGUUUUGCCUACGAAUUGCCUGGGUAGCUCUGAGCUGGGGAAGUGAGCAAGCUCCUCUGAGUUCCUUCUCCUUAUACAGGUUAAAAAAGUACAGAAGUGGAGAGAAGGAAACCAGUGAGACACAGCCCAGGACCAAGGAGCACUCUCUGGGAAGUCCAGACAGGCAGCAGGACCUGUCUAUCAUCGGAGGAGUACAUCACACUCUCUUUCUCUCUGCACAUCUCUGGGUGUGCCCUCUGUGUCCACCUGUCCAUCUUUCCAGCGAUGUGAAGCCAGCUCUUGAUGCACACUUCCUCUAGAAAUGGCUUUUGCCACCUUGUCCCAUGAUGAGUUCCCCUCCUAUAAUUCAGAGCAGGACUGACCUGGUACUUCCACUGGGCACUUAGCAAGCCUGGGACUUGGUUCUAACCCUUUUGGGGUCAUCUAACCUUUUAUCUGGAGAUCCUGUCUUCGCAACUUGACUGUAAACUCCUUGAGGACGGUGGGCACAGCACCUAGCACAGGGCUGAUUGUUCUAAUAAAGGCCUUUGGCGAGAUUUAGAAGUAAAUAUU
rnacentral:lncRNA from 1 species